rnacentral:lncRNA from 1 species
UAUUGAGCAAGUGCCCCGGUGAUGCGACUGUAACCGGUCAGUCCAAAAAUUCAACCCCCAAAAGUGGGUGCAGUACAUUUUGUUUUCGUCCUUCACAUAUUUAUUUAAACAGGCAAUUGUUUUCAACUCAAGUUGAUCAGUAUGAAACUGUGCCACCCCUCUAAGUAAGUCUCGUGACCAAAAUGUAAUCGCCCAUCGGGAUUACGUCAUUAGCAUUCUAUCCGAUUCUCAUUUCUAACCCAGGCUUGUGCUGAAUGCACAUUAUGCAAAUAACGUGUUUUAGAAGAUUUCCACUCAGACUCCAGCCCUAUUGUUACAUUCAUGCCUCGCUGAUCACCAUGGUACAGCGACCUAGCGUGCACGGGCUUUAUCUUAAGCUGUUGUUUCGGUGCUGGGCUAGGCCUUCAUUACUGUCGUUGUGCUCCUCACGCUCACUGCAUGCAACUCAUUACAUUGUUCAAAAUUAUCAUUUUGGCUGUGUUUAUUCUAAUUGAACGUGAACAUUGUGUCCAAUUUAUAUUGUAUUAACAAAGACAUCGUUACCAUUUACUCCGAUCAGCACCAAGAGGGGCAAUGUCUUCAAGAGUAGAAAGAGGCCCAGUGUUUUCGUUACCCUGUUCACUUAGGAAAGAGUUGCAGCUUUCAUCAAAGAAACUGAUGAUCUAAAAGUUGAGACUGCAUGGAUGAGCUAGGCUGCUUUGUCUGGACGAAAAUCAACCCUCCAAGGCUCCAACAGCCUCAUCACACAGAAACUCGAGGAACCGGAAGCAG